UCUGCCACAAAUAACAAACCAUUUGGCCA
rnacentral:piRNA from 1 species